GAUGAACUCUGGCGGCGUGCCUAAUACAUGCAAGUCGAGCGAACAGAUGAGGAGCUUGCUCCUCUGACGUUAGCGGCGGACGGGUGAGUAACACGUGGAUAACCUACCUAUAAGACUGGGAUAACUUCGGGAAACCGGAGCUAAUACCGGAUAAUAUAUUGAACCGCAUGGUUCAAUAGUGAAAGACGGUUUUGCUGUCACUUAUAGAUGGAUCCGCGCCGCAUUAGCUAGUUGGUAAGGUAACGGCUUACCAAGGCAACGAUGCGUAGCCGACCUGAGAGGGUGAUCGGCCACACUGGAACUGAGACACGGUCCAGACUCCUACGGGAGGCAGCAGUAGGGAAUCUUCCGCAAUGGGCGAAAGCUUGACGGAGCAACGCCGCGUGAGUGAUGAAGGUCUUCGGAUCGUAAAACUCUGUUAUUAGGGAAGAACAAAUGUGUAAGUAACUAUGCACGUCUUGACGGUACCUAAUCAGAAAGCCACGGCUAACUACGUG
rnacentral:rRNA from 1 species